rnacentral:rRNA from 1 species
UAUCUCUGUAGAGUCUGCAUAUCAAUAAGCGGAGGAAAAGAAACUAACUAGGAUUCCCUUAGUAACGGCGAGUGAAGCGGGAAGAGCUCAAAUUUGAAAUCUUCAAGGUUUCUACCUUGACGAAUUGUAGUUUAAAGAAGUGUUUUCUGUUGGAAGUUUCGGUAAAAGUUCUUUGGAAUAGGACAUCAUAGAGGGUGAGAAUCCCGUAUUUGACCAUUAUUUCCAACUUUGUGAUACACUUUCAAAGAGUCGGAUUGUUUGGGAAUGCAGUCCAAAGUGGGUGGUAAAUUUCAUCUAAAGCUAAAUACUGGCGAGAGACCGAUAGCGAACAAGUACCGUGAGGGAAGGAUGAAAAGAACUUUGAAAAGAGAGUUAAACAGUACGUGAAAUUGUCAAAAGGGAAGCGUUUGACACCAGUGUUGUUUCGUCGAAAAUCAAUUAAAAAAUGAGUGGGAUUUUGUGUUGUAUUGACUUUAUCAGCUUUCUGCACUUUUUUCCUGUCUUUUUUAAUGCACUUUUCGUUUAACAAGUCAACAUCAAUUUCUUUUGUUGUAAAAGGGUCAUUGGAAGGUGGCUUUCUUUUCGGAGAAAGUGUUUAUAGCCUUUGACUUCUGCAAUCGGAGAGAUUGAGGUCUGCAGCGUAGAUCCUUCGGGGUUAGAUACAUUUGUGCUAAGUUAUAGCCUUUCAUAGACAACUUGUUGACUAUGAUCAGUCAUGUAGCUUACUCGCUUAUGUUAUUUUACCUACGCUUAGGAUGUUGAUCUCUCACAGUCGAGC